AUACUUACCUGGCAGGGGAGAUACCAUGAUCAAGAAGGUGGUUCACCCAGGGCGAGGCUCAGCCAUUGCACUCCGGUUGCGCUGACCCCUGCGAAUUCCCCAAAAGUCUCGACUGCAUAAUUUCUGGUAGUGGGGACUGCGUUCGCGCUCUCCCCCU
rnacentral:snRNA from 1 species